GUGCUUGCUUCAGUAGCACAUUAUUAAAAUUGGAAUGAUAUGGAGAAGAUUAGUAUGGUUCCUGUGCAAGGAUAACAUGAAAAUUCAUGAAGUGUUCCAUAUUAAA
ensembl:snRNA U6 U6 spliceosomal RNA